rnacentral:rRNA from 1 species
AUUGAACGCUGGCGGCAGGCCUAACACAUGCAAGUCGAGCGAGCGGCGGACGGGUGAGGAAUGUAAAGGGACUGCCCGAUAGAGGGGGAUAACGACUGGAAACGGUAGCUCAUACUGCAUACUAUUGGAUAACCCAUGUGGGAUUAGCUAGUAGGGGAGGUAAUGGCUCACCUAGCCGACGAUCCCUAGCUGGUCUGAGAGGAUGAUCAGCCACACUGGGACUGAGACACGGCCCAGACUCCUACGGAGGCAGCAGUGGGGAAUAUUGGACAAUGGGCGCAAGCCUGAUGCAGCCAUGCCGCGUGUAUGAAGAAGGCCCUAGGGUUGUAAAGUACUUUCAGUCGGGAGGCGUUACCGACAGAAGAAGCACCGGCUAACUCCGUGCCAGCAGCCGCGGUAAUUC